rnacentral:rRNA from 1 species
UACGGGGGGGGCAAGCGUUGUUCGGAAUUACUGGGCGUAAAGGGCGCGUAGGCGGCCCUCUAAGUCAGACGUGAAAUCCCACGGCUUAACCGUGAAACUGCGUCUGAUACUGGAGGGCUUGAAUCCGGGAGAGGGAUGUGGAAUUCCAGGUGUAGCGGUGAAAUGCGUAGAUAUCUGGAGGAACACCGGUGGCGAAGGCGGCAUCCUGGACCGGUAUUGACGCUGAGGCGCGAAAGCUAGGGGAGCAAACGGG